UUUUGAAGUGUUUAAAUUUAUUUAAGUGCAAGUUAUUCUUGCCAUGAAUAUGAAAAUUUGGAACACAUUUUUAAAAACUAUUUAUAAUAUUUUAUUAUUUGGAGUGUCUUCUUUCAUUUAUGCAUUACUUCAAAAUUAAGAUACACUAUGAACGGUGUUUUGAAUUUCAACAAUAUAUCAUGAACAGUUCUCUAUGUUAUUAACUAUUCUUGUAAAACAUUCUUUAAUAAAAAAAAUUCUUUAAUGGAGGAUUACUCUUUCAUACUAUAGAUUUAUUCAUAAUUUAUUCUACCAAUUUCAAAUCGAUACUGUUAAACAGGCAACCCGUAUAUUUUAAGUUUAGAAUUUUUUUUUAAAGAUUUUUUAUUUAUUUAUUCAUAAGAGACACAGAGAGAGAGAGAGAGAGAGAGGCAGAGAAACAGGCAGAGGGAGAGGCAGGCUCCACGCAGGGAGCCCGACGUGGAACUUGAUCCUGGGUCUCCAGUGUGACGCCCUGGGCUGAAGGUGACACUAAACCGCUGAGCUACCCAGGCUUCUCUUAAGUGUAGAAUUUAUGGUAACAUUUAUAAUCUCUCAUUAACCAAAGACAUGACCAUUCAGGUCAAAGAUGUUUGAAAUCCAUACAUGAAGGCUGAUAGCUACUUAAAAUUAUAGUAAUUAUAAUUAGAUGAAUUGCUUGAUGUUAUUGCAGUUCCGUACUUUAUCUUGAAUAUUUUGUACUUGUGAUUCAUUUUUAGUGUUUUCUCACUUGAAGCCAUCAAAAGACCAUUCAUUUUAGUUUGGCACAAUUACUAAUAAAUAACAAUGAAAGUAAAAGUAACAUCUGUACUUUCAACAUGAAAGUGUCUUCAUUAUUAGCAGGGUGCAAGCAUUGUCAUUUCUGAUUCUCAGAACUUGAGACAGAGUACUAUGGGCUUCUUGAUGAACAUGAGGUUCAUAAAAGUUCAUGCCAAAGCAUCACCAUAAACCUCACAUACAGAUUUCUAGAUGAGAAAAAACUAAAUAUAUAAUCGGGGAUAAGAGGAUCAACUGAAACAAUAAAAAACAACAACAGAUUGUGUGUUAGUUCUUUUUACACAUUGAUGACUUCCUGGGUUGAGGCUCAAUGACAUUGCUAGAUACAGCUUCUCAGAUACCAGCAAUGCCUGCCUUACUCCUUAUCCUUUCCUAGGAUAACCUCACUUAUUUUUCAAAUGUCAACUAACCUGCAUCUUCUUUUGGAAGUCAUCCCCUGCCAUUCUGUAUACCUAAGCACAUAGACACAGACACAAGUGAAUGUGUGCAUGCACACACACACACACACACACACACACACACACACACUGGAGCGGCGGGGGCAGGGAGGUCUUGUCCUCUACAAAACUUUUCCAGAGCACCUUGUUAUGGAUUGAGUCAUGUCUCCCAAAAAGAUAGGUUUGUGUUCUAAUACAAAUGUGAUCUCAUCUGGGAAUAGUUUUUGCAGAUGUAAUCAAAUUAAGAUGAACUCACACCAAUUAAAAAUGGGCCCUAAUCCAAUGACUACCAUCCAUUGAAAAAGAAAGAAAUUUAAACAUAGACACACAGGGAGAUCAUUACAUGAUGACAGAGAAAAAGAAAUGAUGCAUCUAUUAGUCAACCAGCACCAAGGGCUAUCGGCAACUCCCAGAAGCUAGGAAGAUUCAAAGAACAAUCCUCCCCUAGAGCCUUCAGAAGGACACCUUGCUACACCUUGAUGUCAAGAUUCUAGCCUCCGAAACUCUGAGAAGAUAAAUUUCUUUUGUUCUAAGUCAUCCAUCUUUUGGUACUUUUUGAUAAGGCAGCCCUAUGAAAUUAAUAUAUCCCUAACACUUUCUUCCUCAUUCAUUCAUUCAAGCAAAUUUUACUAAAUGCUGACUCCAUGCCAGGGAGUAUACUUGCUUGCUUUCCUCCUAUUCCUCUGCCAAUCAGUAUAGCCCCUCAGAAGAGGAGCUUUAUUAUUACAUUCUCCAGAGCCUACACAAUUUCACACAGAGAAGAGGUUGCUAAUAAAUACUGUUGAUUAAAUGAUUAAAUGCCACUCUUGAUCUUUCACAGGGAGCUUCUUUUUAACAUUACUUUUAUCUUCCUAGUAAAGAGUGGUGUCCAAAGAGAACUGAGGGCUGAGAGAUAAAGGAGCUGUCUUUUAAUGACAAUCACAAAACUAUCCAAAGUAAACAACAGAAUAUGUGCAUUUUAAACAAACGGAUCUUAGAAAUUUUUUUGUUGCCGUUAUUAUCAUCAACUAUGCAAAUAAAAUGCCAUUUCUCUUUGAUUGUCUAAAUGUUCUUUACUUCAUCAACAUAAAAACAGCCAAAUGGACUUUCACUGAACUUGAAGGGUAUGUUUGGGAAGGCAUGAGAAAAAUUAUAGCAUAAUAGACAAACUCUGAAGUCAAAAUGCCUGAGUUUAAAUUCCUGCUUAGCCCUCCUUAAGGUAUAACCUUAAAGAAACAUUCAAUCUCUCAAGGUCUGUAGCUGCUCAUCUAUAAAAUGUGAUUAAUGAGUAUACAUUACAUAGGAAGCACAUGUGAGGAUUCAAAGAAAUACUAUAUGUUUAACAUAGUGUUUUAAACAUAGUGAAUACUCCACCAAGUUAAUUUGCUUUAGUUCUAUUGUAUUACUCUCAUUAUUAAUAAAGCUGCUAUGUUUUUGUUUGCAAAAUCUUGGUGCAAGUCCUUUAGAAAUCCUUACUCAGUAGGUUAAAAAAUAUGUAAGAUCUUAGAAGAAGAAAUCACUUAUUUAUUUACAUAUACUAUGCAUAUGAUAAUUUCAAAAAUAAGGACCAAAAGAAAGAUUGCUUUUUCCUUCAAAAAGGCAGUCAAUCUGGCUAAGUAUCUUGAUCAUCAUUCAAAGAACUUUCUUUAAGUUUGAAGUCUCCAGUACAUUGAGGCACAUCACCACAGCAAGUGGUUGUCCAUGUGAAUACACAGAUGAAUCAGAGAGAAUUGCCUAUAAAUAAUUCAUGGUUAUACAGGAAGAUAGAGAUACAAUUGCAGGAUUCAUUGACUCCCUAUUUUCCAUGGAAAACUACUAUAACACCUUGGCUAAGUACACAACACACUUUAUGUUCUCAUUUCCCACUUAUUGGUAUAUAUAGAAUUAUAGCUCCCACAUUAUGUUUCAUUUUUUU
rnacentral:lncRNA from 1 species